rnacentral:rRNA from 1 species
GACGGAGGAUGCAAGUGUUAUCCGGAAUCACUGGGCGUAAAGCGUCUGUAGGUGGUUUAAAAAGUCCACUGUUAAAAUGAAUGACGUUAACUUCAAAGAUGCCGUGGAAACUUUUAAACUUGAGUAUGGUAGGGGUAGAGGGAAUUUCCAGUGGAGCGGUGAAAUGCGUAGAUAUUGGAAAGACCACCAAUGGCGAAGGCACUCUACUGGGCCAUUACUGACACUGAGAGACGAAAGCUAGGGGAGCAAAUGGG